UAAGUCAGAACCGUGCUAGAAACGAUGAUGUUGGUCCCGCACAUAUUAGCUGUGUUAAAAUAGAGCUUUGCUCGUGAACCAAAUCAGACAGACGUGGAUGCUGCAGUGGAAAUCUGUGGUGUCUAGUUUGUGAAUUGUAAUUACCAUAUGGGCGGGGGUGAAUCCUUUGCAGACGACUUGAAUGGGAACGGGGUACUGUAAGCAGUAGAGUAGCUUGUUGCUACGAUCUGCUGAGGUUAAGCCCUUGUUUUAAAGAUUUGU
rnacentral:rRNA from 1 species